AGUGAACGCUGGCGGUAGGCCUAACACAUGCAAGUCGAACGGCAGCACAGUAAGAGCUUGCUCUUUCGGGUGGCGAGUGGCGGACGGGUGAAGAAUACAUCGGAAUCUACUUUUUCGUGGGGGAUAACGUAGGGAAACUUACGCUAAUACCGCAUACGACCUACGGGUGAAAGCAGGGGAUCUUCGGACCUUGCGCGAUUGAAUGAGCCGAUGUCGGAUUAGCUAGUUGGCGGGGUAAAGGCCCACCAAGGCGACGAUCCGUAGCUGGUCUGAGAGGAUGAUCAGCCACACUGGAACUGAGACACGGUCCAGACUCCUACGGGAGGCAGCAGUGGGGAAUAUUGGACAAUGGGCGCAAGCCUGAUCCAGCCAUACCGCGUGGGUGAAGAAGGCCUUCGGGUUGUAAAGCCCUUUUGUUGGGAAAGAAAAGCAGCAGGUUAAUACCCCGCUGUUCUGACGGUACCCAAAGAAUAAGCACCGGCUAACUUCGUG
rnacentral:rRNA from 1 species